AUAGAGAGGAGAGACAUGAGCCGACAUUCACGCCUGCAUGUUUUGAACAUGAUAGAUUAUUUUAUGGGGAAGAAGAAACUAGAUAGAAACAACGUGCGCAACCAGGUCUUUGCACAGUUUGAUCUAUUUAAGGAAAAGUCAAGGGAAAUUCAUCCACGCUCUGCCUCUGGGUUGGAACAAAAAUGUUUUCAGGAGCUACAAUGCGCUGAUGAAGAAGAACAGGGAUUAUCCAGGAGAUGCAUAGUUUAUGAAACUGGCAGUUGUCGUGCGUAAAUGGCAAGAGUGGCAUUAGACUGAAUCGAGAGGGAAUGAGGGAGAGAGAGGGGAGGCAGGGGCGACUGAGGGAGAGAAAGUGACGGAGCAAUAGAGUGAAGAACCAGCAAAGGGAGAGAGAGGGAGGGAAAACGAGAGAGAGACAGACAGACAGAUAGAGAGGGAGAGAGAGGGAGAGGGGGUCUGCAAGGCGACUUGGUUGGCAGUAUUUGCCUCUGCCUCUCCAGCAGCGGGAGAGAUGUGCGUAACAUGCAGCGGAGAGCGGUGAUCAUCAUCUGCGCGCCGCAUCGCCGUGGACCGCCGUGCGCACUCGAAGACAGAGACACACCGAGGGGUCGCAGCCCGCUCUGCCGAACCUGUCGCGAGUGAGACGGCAGCACAGCCGAGGAAAGACUUCUGAAAGGAAAAGGGGAAAGAGAAGAAGUGGCGUGAGGGAAGAUGUCAGCCCUUCAGACGGUGAUUGGGGGUUAACAGUCCUACUGUUUGGAGCCACUGUGACGCACCGGCGGCGAAACAAGAGCGCAUAUUUGUGUUGUUGUUACACGGAAUCCCAGUCCUCUCUGUUUCAUCUAAAAUCGGACGAUCAAGUGAGGAUUUUGCACGAAGGGAAUGAAUGCCGAAUUACAUGGCCAAAAGAAUAUGAGUCAGUGCAUGUCUGUGAGCUGAGGUGGAGUGUGUCUCUCCUGCUGCACGGCUGUCUCGGUCCGCCUCAUACCUUCCUACGCCAGGAUGCAGCUGCUCAGAGUUGCGUGGGCACUGACCGGGGCGGCGAUCUGCUGCUUUCUCAUUCUCCUUAUUCACUCCCGCCUGCUCAAAGAAGGCCAGCUGGCAGCGGGGACAUGUGAGAUUGUGACACUGGACAGGGACAGCAGCCAACCACGGCGGACCAUCGCCAGGCAGACGGCCCGCUGCGCCUGUAAGAAGGGCCAGAUCGCUGGAACUACAAGAGCCAGACCUGCCUGUGUGGACGCUGGUAUUGUUCGGAAAAAGCAGUGGUGUGAGAUGGUGCCAUGUUUGGAGGACGAAGGCUGUGACCUGUUAGUCAAUAAAUCUGGCUGGACUUGUACACAGCCCGGAGGCCGAGUCAAAACCACCACGGCUCUAUGACGCGACAAGAGUCCCCCUCGACCCUCUUGCACUUUGGAGAGCAUUGAUGACCCCUUGACAGACAACCAAAACCCAUCUACCAACACCACCCUACCACCACCACCAACAACAUCACAAGUCCACCCAAACCCUGGUCCCGCAAAGGCAGGAAGCAACACAAGCAGCUACAGAGCACCAAGAGCCUCAUGGAGGCAGCAAGGUCUCAUAACACAGCCAGAGACAGGAAAACCAGGGAAUGACUGUUUGAGGGAGCAAACUGUCCCCUGGACACUGGACAAAGUACUCACUGUAAAACACUGUCUUUUUCCUGUGACCGGCUUCUCCGGGUUUGUGACUGCUCCCUCCUGCUAUCUGUCGUUGGGUCAAAAUGUUGCGUCCACCUUCUCUCCAACCUGUCUGCCUGCUCUGUGAAGCUAGCAGCGCCUGCUCGUGCCAUGGGGGGAUCGGACAUCGUAAAAAUCACGUGGAUGGUUUUUUGCCUCAUGGGAAGUCCUCUGUUUCAAACUGCUUUGAAUAAGGGAUUUCCCGUAUCACACCCGAGCCUCUGGGGCAGGAGUUCCGGACGGGAUCAUUGCAGACCAGAUCCUGUUGCUUCCUGGACCACCUUGUGAGGCUGUAAA